rnacentral:rRNA from 1 species
GAUGAACGCUGGCGGCGUGCUUAACACAUGCAAGUCGAACGAAGCACCUUGAUUUGAUUCUUCGGAUGAAGAUCUUGGUGACCGAGUGGCGGACGGGUGAGUAACGCGUGGGUAACCUGCCUCAUACAGGGGGAUAACAGUUAGAAAUGACUGCUAAUACCGCAUAAGACCACAGCACCGCAUGGUGCAGGGGUAAAACGUCAGGUGGUAUGAGAUGGACCCGGGUGUGAUUAGGUAGUGGGUGGGGUAACGGCCUACCAAGCCGACGAUCAGUAGCCGACCUGAGAGGGUGACCGGCCACAUUGGGACUGAGACACGGACCAAACUCCUACGGGAGGCAGCAGUGGGGAAUAUUGCACAAUGGGGGAAACCCUGAUGCAGCGACGCCGCGUGAGCGAUGAAGUAUUUCGGUAUGUAAAGCUCUAUCAGCAGGGAAGAAAAUGACGGUACCUGACUAAGAAGCACCGGCUAAAUACGUGCCAGCCGCCGCGGUAA